UUCAGCCGGCAUUCGUGCCGGUGUACUUCCCUGGGGGCGGGCCAGCGUCGGUUUGGGCGGCCGGUCAAAGGCUCCCGGAAUGUAGUGCCCUCCGGGGCACCUUAUAGCCGGGAGUGCAAUGCGGCCAGCCUGGACCGAGGAACGCGCUUCGGCACGGACGCUGGCAUAAUGGUCGUAAACGACCCGUCUUGAAACACGGACCAAG
rnacentral:rRNA from 1 species